rnacentral:lncRNA from 1 species
GUUUUUUGGUUGUUGUUUUUGUUUUUGUUUUUGCUUCUUCUGUGACCAAAAGACCCUACAAGAACAACUUAGAGGAGGAAAAGUUUAUUUGGGGCUCAUGGUUUUCAGAGGUCUCCGUCAAUAGAUUGCUCUGUGCCCGGGGAAGAGUUUGGCGGAGGAGAACAUCUCAGGACAUGACAGUUGGGGGGCAGAGAGAGCUCUGCUCAACAAGGACACUAUCCACCUCACAGACAACCCCGGGGAUCUGCCUCCUCCAGCCACACCCGCCCUGCCUAGGUGACCCCAGCUAAUCCAUGCCACUGGAUUCACAGGCUGACUAGGUUAAGCUCUCCGAACCCCAUCAUUUCACCUCUGAACCUUCUUGCCUUGUCAAACACAGGAGCUUCUGGGGGGACACCUCACGUCUGAAUCACAACACCUGCUGUAUAGUGAUCGCCAGUUUCCAGGCUACCAAUGCUCCUGCUAGGGCCAGUUUCCUACACGUGCGAGGCAGGAGCCCAACCACAAACCUGCGAUCUUAUGCCUUAAUGGGUAAUUUUUAUAAUCGUGGCCACAUUCAACCACUGACUCUGGAAAUUUCUGAGCAAUGAUCUGCAGGGAGAAGCUGGUGUGUGCGGGUUCCAGCACCCACAGUUCCUGGUUCUUCUUGUCUCCAUUUCUGUACCCAGCAAACCCAGGACAAUCCCACUUUCCACAACUCUUGUUGCAAAUAACACUGCAAAGAGCUGGGCAGAGAGCACGCACCCCAGCAAGGCGGCUGCAUGAUCCCAGGGCUGGUGGGGUGGGGGAAGACCAGCCCUUCAGCACACCAUAAAUCCCCCUUUUGCCCAUGGGGAGGAGAGACGAGGUGGGG